GGCCCAUCUCGAUACCCUGUGGA
rnacentral:piRNA from 1 species